GUGACUAGUGGAUAGUGAUUUAGUUUAAUAUGGAGGUGACUAGUGGAUAGUGAUUUAGUUUAAUAUGGAGGUGACUAGUGGAUAGUGAUUUAGUUUAAUAUGGAGGUGACAAGAGGAUAGUGAUUUAGUUUAAUACGGAGGUGACUAGUGGAUAGUGAUUUAGUUUAGUUUAAUACGGAGGUGACUAGUGGAUAGUGAUUUAGUUUAGUUUAAUACGGAGGUGACUAGUGGAUAGUGAUUUAGUUUAGUUUAAUAUGGAGUUGACUAAUGGACAGUGAUUUAGUUUAGUUUAGUUUAAUAUGGAGGUGACUAAUGGACAGUGAUUUAGUUUAGUUUAGUUUAAUAUGGAGGUGACUAACAGAUAGUGAUUCAGAUUAUUUUAAUACACAGGUGACUAGUGUAUAGUGAUUUAAUUUAAUAUACAACCAAGAGCGAACCUAAAACACAUGGUUGCUUCGAGGGGAAAGGAAAGGAGAGGAGGAGAAGGGAACAGGAAAGGAGAAUAGGAAAUGCGAACAGGAAAGGAGAGGAGGAGAAGGGGAAAGGAUAGGAUAGGAAGAGAAGGGGAAAGGAACGGAGAGGAAGAGAAGGGGAAAGGAACGGAGAGGAAGAGAAUGGGAAAGGAUGAGAAGGGGAAAGGAAAGGAAAGGAAAGGAAAGGAGAGGAGGAGAAGGGAGAAGGGGAAAGGGAACACCUCUAAAAGAGACUGGAAAAGAUUGGUGGAAAAUCAUCUGGGAGGGGUGACUGAUAUGGUUUGUGGUGGUGGUGGUGGUGUUGGGGAGGAGGGAGAGAGAAGGGGGGUGGAUUUUCCACUGCCAGGGAAAGAACGGCUAAAUCAAAUUAAUUAGCUUCUUCAUCUCCAGGCAGCUACUCAGGCAUGCUGUACUGGCAAAGAGAGGGAGAAGGAGAGUGUACACAAGAGAAAGAGUGAGAGUGUAGAGAACUUGGUGGAGGAGUGAAGAGC
rnacentral:lncRNA from 1 species